CCUACGGGAGGCAGCAGUGGGGGAUAUUGCACAAUGGGGGGAACCCUGAUGCAGCGACGCCGCGUGGGUGAAGAAGCGCCUCGGCGCGUAAAGCCCUGUCAGCAGGGAAGAAAAUGACGGUAUCUGAAGAAGAAGCCCCGGCUAACUACGUGCCAGCAGCCGCGGUAAUACGUAGGGUGCAAGCGUUAUCCGGAUUUACUGGGUGUAAAGGGGGCGCAGGCGGCGAUGCAAGCCAGGAGUGAAAGCCCGGGGCCCAACCCCGGGACUGCGGUUGGAACUGGUUGGCUGGAGUGUAGGAGGGGCAGGCGGAAUUCCUGGUGUAGCGGUGAAAUGCGUAGAGAUCAGGAGGAACACCGGUGGCGAAGGCGGCCUGCUGGA
rnacentral:rRNA from 1 species